rnacentral:rRNA from 1 species
GACGAACGCUGGCGGCGUGCUUAUCACAUGCAAGUCGAACGGAAAGGCCCUGCUUUUGUGGGGUGCUCGAGUGGCGAACGGGUGAGUAACACGUGAGUAACCUGCCCUUGACUUUGGGAUAACUUCAGGAAACUGGGGCUAAUACCGGAUAGGAGCUCCUGCUGCAUGGUGGGGGUUGGAAAGUUUCGGCGGUUGGGGGUGGACUCGCGGCUUAUCAGCUUGUUGGUGGGGUAGUGGCUUACCAAGGCUUUGACGGGUAGCCGGCCUGAGAGGGUGACCGGCCACAUUGGGACUGAGAUACGGCCCAGACUCCUACGGGAGGCAGCAGUGGGGAAUAUUGCACAAUGGGCGGAAGCCUGAUGCAGCAACGCCGCGUGCGGGAUGACGGCCUUCGGGCUGUAAACCGCUUUCGCCUGUGACGAAGCGUGAGUGACGGUAAUGGGUAAAGAAGCACCGGCUAACUACGUG